GUCUCAGUAGCAUAGUGGUUAAUGCACAGCCACAGUUAGGCGCGAGACGCGUGUUCGAAUCCUGCCUGAGAUA
rnacentral:tRNA from 1 species